UACGUAGGGUGCGAGCGUUAUUCGGAAUUACUGGGCGUAAAGCGUGCGUAGGCGGUUCGUUAAGUUCGUUGUGAAAGCCCCGGGCUCAACCUGGGAACUGCAAUGGAAACUGGCGGGCUUGAGUGUGGCAGAGGGGGGUGGAAUUCCGCGUGUAGCAGUGAAAUGCGUAGAGAUGCGGAGGAACACCGAUGGCGAAGGCAGCCCCCUGGGCCAAGAUUGACGCUCAUGCACGAAAGCGUGGGGAGCAAACAGG
rnacentral:rRNA from 1 species